GCCAAUCAGGUAUUACCGUUGUUCAGUGACAAACUGAUUCACUGCCUGACUCUCACAGUUCAGCGAAAAAUUACUGUACUUCAAAAGGCAUUCCUGAAACGCUAAUGUCUUUAUAAAGGCCCUAGUGGAGAUCAUUGGGAAACCUCAGCUCACUGCCUUGAGUCAGCCAGCCACACCUGGAACCCCUCUGGAGUGUCAACAAUACCUACUACUAUAAUCUCCACACGCAGCAGUACAUGUACUGGGACGGGGAACGACAUAUGUAUGUUCCUGCUUCAUCACAGACUUCGGAAGACACAACAGACUCUGUGACCUCUGACCUUUCAGUUGCACUCAACAUUGACAAGGACAAGAAGAACAAGCCCAAGAAUAAGACUGCACAGCAAGUUUUAGUAGGUGAUGGUAGCCAAAGACAUGGAGCGGUGGGCGAAAAGUCUGAACAGGCAGAAGGAGAAUGUGCGGUCUUCCUCACUCAACACAAGCUCUCGGCUGCAGGGUAGACCUGACGACCAGCGGGAGUCUGCCAGCGCUGAUGCGGGCUACGCCGUCCUGGAGAUGAAGCAAAAUCUAGAGCAGAGGAGAGCGGGACAAGCCCAGCUCGAGAGACAAGAGCGAUCAGAAACAGAGGUGGUGCUCUAUUUCAGCUGAAAUAGAGGGACCGGGCAGCAGAGAGGAGGGAGAAAUGGACUGUCCCCCAACAUCCUGAUGCCAAAAAGAGGAGAUACAGCCCUGUUGGUGUUGGAUCUCAGAUGCUUCCAGAAGGGAUGGAGAAACGCUUUUUUAUUUGGAACCUCCCGGUGGAAUAAAAUAGUUGAUCUUGGGAAUUCCUUUUCCUUCUGGACUACUGUAAAUGGCAUGUACACAGUGUUUGUUUAAAGAGCAAAACUGCAACUAAAACAUUUUCAUUAGGUUAUGUUACUUAAAAUUAAGAUCAUCUGGAAAUGUGCAGAUGUUUGUGGAAAAAAUAAUUUAGAACUAUUUUUUGGAUUUUUUUUUUAAAUCAGAAAGGAACCCUUGGGAA